CCUACGGGUGGCAGCAGUGGGGAAUAUUGCGCAAUGGGGGAAACCCUGAUGCAGCGACGCCGCGUGAGUGAAGAAGUAUUUCGGGAUGUAAAGCUCUAUCAGCAGGGAAGAAAAUGACGGUACCUGAGUAAGAAGCCCCGGCUAACUACGUGCCAGCAGCCGCGGUAAGACGUAGGGGGCAAGCGUUCUCCGGAUGUACGUGGUGUAAAGGGAGCGUAGACGGCAGCACAAGUCUGGAGUGAAAUGCCGUGGCUUAACCCCGGAACUGCUUUGGAAACUGUGCAGCUAGAGUGCAGGAGAGGUCAGUGGCCUUCCUUUUGUAGCUGUGACAUGCGUCGAUAUUAGGAGGACCACCAGUGGCGACGGCGGCUUACUGGACUGUAACUGACGUUGAGGCUCGAACGCGUUGUGAGCAAACAGGAUUAGCUCCCCCAGUAGUC
rnacentral:rRNA from 1 species